rnacentral:hammerhead_ribozyme from 1 species
AUCCAGCUGGUAAGUCACAAAUAGGACGAAACACGCGUCCUGGAU